AUUGAACGCUGGCGGCAGGCCUAACACAUGCAAGUCGAGCGGGGGUAGCAAUACCCUAGCGGCGAACGGGUGAGGAAUGCUUGGGAAUCUGCCUCGUAGUGGGGGAUAACGUUCCGAAAGGAACGCUAAUACCGCAUACGUCCUACGGGAGAAAGGGGGGGAGUCUUCGGACCUCUCGCUAUGAGAUGAGCCCAAGCGGGAUUAGCUAGUUGGUGAGGUAAAGGCUCACCAAGGCUACGAUCCCUAGCUGGUCUGAGAGGAUGAUCAGCCACACUGGAACUGAGACACGGUCCAGACUCCUACGGGAGGCAGCAGUGGGGGAAUAUUGGACAAUGGGCGAAAGCCUGAUCCAGCCAUGCCGCGUGUGUGAAGAAGGCCUCGGUUGUAAGCACUUUAAGUCGAGGAGGAAGAUGAUGACUGUACCUGGAGAA
rnacentral:rRNA from 1 species